GAUGAACGCUGGCGGCGUGCCUAAUACAUGCAAGUCGAGCGAACGGACGAGAAGCUUGCUUCUCUGAUGUUAGCGGCGGACGGGUGAGUAACACGUGGAUAACCUACCUAUAAGACUGGGAUAACUUCGGGAAACCGGAGCUAAUACCGGAUAAUAUUUUGAACCGCAUGGUUCAAAAGUGAAAGACGGUCUUGCUGUCACUCAUAGAUGGAUCCGCGCUGCAUUAGCUAGUUGGUAAGGUAACGGCUUACCAAGGCAACGAUGCAUAGCCGACCUGAGAGGGUGAUCGGCCACACUGGAACUGAGACACGGUCCAGACUCCUACGGGAGGCAGCAGUAGGGAAUCUUCCGCAAUGGGCGAAAGCCUGACGGAGCAACGCCGCGUGAGUGAUGAAGGUCUUCGGAUCGUAAAACUCUGUUAUUAGGGAAGAACAUAUGUGUAAGUAACUGUGCACAUCUUGACGGUACCUAAUCAGAAAGCCACGGCUAACUACGUG
rnacentral:rRNA from 1 species